UUUAACUGGAGAGUUUGAUUCUGGCUCAGAUUGAACGCUGGCGGCGUGCUUAACACAUGCAAGUCGAGCGAGAAAGUCCGCUUCGGUGGAUGAGUACAGCGGCGCACGGGUGAGUAACGCGUGGAUGAUCUGCCCUCAAGAUCGGGAUAACAGUGGGAAACCGCUGCUAAUACCGGAUACGCUUUACGUUUAUCCUAAGGGAAAGGUGG
rnacentral:rRNA from 1 species